CAAUAGCGUAUAUUUAAGUUGUUGCAGUUAAAAAGCUCGUAGUUGGAUUUCGGAUGGGAUCUGCCGGUCCGUCUUUGAGAUGUGUACUGGUAGGUCCUAUCUUGUUGUCGGGGACCAGCUCCUGGGCUUCACUGUCCGGGACUGGGAGCCGACGAAGUUACUUUGAGUAAAUUAGAGUGUUCAAAGCAAGCCUACGCUCUGAAUAUAUUAGCAUGGAAUAACACGAUAGGACUCUGGCUUAUCUUGUUGGUCUGUGAGACCAGAGUAAUGAUUAAGAGGGACAGUCGGGGACAUUCGUAUUUCAUUGUCAGAGGUGAAAUUCUUGGAUUUAUGAAAGACAAACUGCUGCGAAAGCGUCUGCCAAGGAUGUUUUCAUUGA
rnacentral:rRNA from 1 species